AGGAGGCAGAUGGUCUGACUUCCGUUGUAACAGGGUCAUUCUGGCUGCUCUGUUGCCAAUAGACUGGAGUAGGGCAGGGGUGGGGGUGGGGGUGCAGUAGGAAGACCAAGUAGGAGGCAAUUGCAAUGAUCCAAACCGAGAGAUUGUGGUGGUUUGGACCAAGAGGGUAGCAACGGAGGUAGUGAGAAGUGGAUCAACUCGGAAAAUGGUUUGAAGGUCCAACCCAGUCUCCUGUUAUGUGUGGAGUGGCACUCAGUGAAUGUCAGUGGGAGAGGCUGGGCUGCUUGUCCAAACAAGCCCGGGAGGAAGGCAGGACCAGAAGGGGGGGGGUCAUCAAUGGUGGUAGGGAUGUCAAUCACGUGUCUCUGCAUCCAGCAUCAUAGACAGGAUGUCACGCGAUGCAGCCUAGCCACAGUUCUGAGAUCUAUGGAUGGGCACGUGACUCAAGCCAGAUGUCUUUUGUUUCUUCUUCUUGCCUCAGUGCAUGAGCGAGGGCCUCUAGUACACUACCGAAUACAAAUGGAAAGUUUAAGAUUACAGGACAAGGGACUAAAAGAAGUGUCUAUUUCAGGAGCCUCUCAGCUGCGGUUUGUCUUCACUUACUAAGGGACACAACAACCUUUCCAGGCUACCCAUGGGGUACCUCAACAGCUUUGCCAUCUCACACAAUCUUUGCAGACAAGAUGCUAAUUACACCCACCUUUCUCCAGGAGCACAGUGUAGCCUAAGUGUGCAGUGUUUAUAAAGUCUGCAGGAAUGUCCCAGGCCAUCACAUUCUCUCACCACUCACUGACUCACCCAGAGCCACUUCCAGUCCUGCCAGCUCCAUUCAUGAGAGGACGGAAGGUUGCAGAUGGAAUUGUCUGUGGAUCAGCUGAGCCUCCAGAAGGAAGGCAGCCCUGACAACACCGUGCUUUCAGUCCAGCGAGACCCACAUCAGACUCUGCCAUCAGAACUUGCGUCACUGCCACAGCAUGGCCUGAUGAGUGGUGUAGGUCCGUGCCCUGGAUCCGAACCUGCGAACCCGAGACUGCCGAAGUGGAUUGUGCCAACUUAAUCACUACACCACCGGGAUGACCCUGUUAGUUAUACUUUUUAAUUCAAGAAUAAAGAAAAUAUAUUGAUUAAACCAAUUAGCCUCUUUUAAGGUUAGCAAAAGUGGAACUAGACUGUACUAUUACUAAAAUUUCACUUUUAUGUCCCUUAAACUUUUAAUUUUUCUUUAG
rnacentral:lncRNA from 1 species